rnacentral:misc_RNA from 1 species
AACGCACAUUGCGCCCCUUGGUAUUCCGAGGGGCAUGCCUGUUCGAGCGUCAUUAACACCAAUCAAGCCUGGCUUGGUCUUGAGGCUCGCGACCUCGCGACCCCUAAAAUGAUUGGCGGCGUUACCUGGCUCUUAGCGUAGUAAUCUUUCUUGCUAUAGGGUCCCCGGUAGCUGCUCGCUCUCAACCCUCAAUUUCUCAGGAUUGACCUCGAAUCAGGUAGGGAUACCCGCUGAACUUAA